AUCACUUCUUGGCCUUUUGGCUAAGAUCAAGUGUAGUGUCUGUUCUUAUCAGUUUAAAUACAUUUAUGCAUGAGAGUUGUUCUCUGGCAUUUUUUUUGUCACUAUGAGAAAAACAAAUAUAAUAAAAGAAUGUAAAAUCAGAGAUAUAAUGGUUUCUAGAAUGAAGCUUGUCAAGUAUGCUGAACCUACUCUCC
rnacentral:snRNA from 1 species